rnacentral:rRNA from 1 species
UCCUGUACUUCUGGUUACUGCGAUGGAGGGACGGAGAAGGCUAGGCCAGCUUGGCGUUGGUUGUCCAAGUUUAAGGUGGUAGGCUGAAAUCUUAGGUAAAUCCGGGGUUUCAAGGCCGAGAGCUGAUGACGAGUCGUCUUUUAGAUGACGAAGUGGUUGAUGCCAUGCUUCCAAGAAAAGCUUCUAAGCUUCAGGUAACCAGGAACCGUACCCCAAACCGACACAGGUGGUCGGGUAGAGAAUACCAAGGCGCUUGAGAGAACUCGGGUGAAGGAACUAGGCAAAAUGGCACCGUAACUUCGGGAGAAGGUGCGCCGGCUAGGGUGAAGGAUUUACUCCGUAAGCUCUGGCUGGUUGAAGAUACCAGGCCGCUGCGACUGUUUAUUAAAAACACAGCACUCUGCAAACACGAAAGUGGACGUAUAGGGUGUGACGCCUCCCCGGUGCCGGAAGGUUAAUUGAUGGGGUUAGCGCAAGCGAAGCUCUUGAUCGAAGCCCCGGUAAACGGCGGCCGUAACUAUAACGGUCCUAAGGUAGCGAAAUUCCUUGUCGGGUAAGUUCCGACCUGCACGAAUGGCGUAACGAUGGCGGCGCUGUCUCCACCCGAGACUCAGUGAAAUUGAAAUCGCUGUGAAGAUGCAGUGUAUCCGCGGCUAGACGGAAAGACCCCGUGAACCUUUACUGUAGCUUUGCACUGGACUUUGAGCCUGCUUGUGUAGGAUAGGUGGGAGGCUUUGAAGCGUGGACGCCAGUUCGCGUGGAGCCAUCCUUGAAAUACCACCCUGGCAUGCUUGAGGUUCUAACUCUGGUCCGUAAUCCGGAUCGAGGACAGUGUAUGGUGGGCAGUUUGACUGGGGCGGUCUCCUCCUAAAGAGUAACGGAGGAGUACGAAGGUGCGCUCAGACCGGUCGGAAAUCGGUCGCAGAGUAUAAAGGCAAAAGCGCGCUUGACUGCGAGACAGACACGUCGAGCAGGUACGAAAGUAGGUCUUAGUGAUCCGGUGGUUCUGUAUGGAAGGGCCAUCGCUCAGCGGAUAAAAGGUACUCCGGGGAUAACAGGCUGAUACCGCCCAAGAGUUCAUAUCGACGGCGGUGUUUGGCACCUCGAUGUCGGCUCAUCACAUCCUGGGGCUGAAGCCGGUCCCAAGGGUAUGGCUGUUCGCCAUUUGAAGUGGUACACGAGCUGGGUUUAGAACGUCGUGAGACAGUUCGGUCCCUAUCUGCCGUGGACGUUUGAGAUUUGAGAGGGGCUGCUCCUAGUACGAGAGGACCGGAGUGGACGAACCUCUGGUGUUCCGGUUGUCACGCCAGUGGCAUUGCCGGGUAGCUAUGUUCGGAAAAGAUAACCGCUGAAAGCAUCUAAGCGGGAAACUUGCCUCAAGAUGAGAUCUCACUGGGAACUUGAUUCCCCUGAAGGGCCGUCGAAGACUACGACGUUGAUAGGCUGGGUGUGUAAGCGUUGUGAGGCGUUGAGCUAACCAGUACUAAUUGCCCGU